rnacentral:ncRNA from 1 species
CUGAUCUGGCCGCAUGGGUCGACGUUCGUGCAACGAGCCCGUUCCGCGAUGUUACCUUUGAGUAACAAACGGAUGCGCCAAUGUCAG